rnacentral:rRNA from 1 species
AUGACCAGGAGACUGAGGCCUUCAACCCAGGGAGGGAUUGGGAACAGGCAGUACCUAUGAGGAGAAUAAA